rnacentral:tRNA from 1 species
GGAGAUAUACCCAAGCGGCUUAAGGGGGUAGUUUCGAAAACUACUAGGCAUCCUAAAGAUGUGCGGGAGUUCGAAUCUCCCUAUCUCCG